GGAAACGCUGCCGGGGAGUAGGCGGGGCGGGCGCUUUGGUUCCGAGGAUGCUCCUGCCCUGACUGGUUUUCCCGCGGGCGUCUCUAGUCCGGACGACAGCCCCAAGGGCAGAGGUCUCAGAUGGGUGUUUUUCCAUGUGAGAAGACUCCAAGAUUCUUUGUUAGUCAUAAAUUUUUUCCCUCCGUUCUGCUGAAUAUCAACCUCAACUUUUUUUGCAUCAUGGGGCAUUAUCAUUUAACACUUUGAGUUCCUGGGGGUGGAAGUAAAGAAUACAAAAAUAUUUUUACAUUUUCAAAUUUAUUUUCCACUCCAAUCUAAAAAUAAAUUGAGAAAUUUUUGUGUUCAUCCU